CGUUGAAACUUCGGUUCCUAAGCGAUCACCAAAGUUAAGCAACUUCGAGACUGGUGAGUACCUAGAUGGGUUACCGCUUGGAAAUCCCAGGUGCUGA